rnacentral:rRNA from 1 species
UACGUAGGGAGCAAGCGUUGUCCAGAAUCAUUGGGCGUAAAGCGCGCGUAGGUGGCCAUGUAAGUCCGCUGUGAAAGUCAAAGGCUCAACCUUUGAAAGCCGGUGGAUACUGCAUGGCUAGAGUACGGAAGAGGCGAGUGGAAUUCCUGGUGUAGCGGUGGAAUGCGCAGAUAUCAGGAGGAACACCAAUAGCGAAGGCAGCUCGCUGGGACGUUACUGACACUGAGGCGCGAAAGCGUGGGGAGCGAACAGG